AACGCACAUUGCGCCCUCUGGUAUUCCGGAGGGCAUGCCUGUUCGAGCGUCAUUACACCACUCAAGCCUCGCUUGGUGUUGGGCGUCGCGGUCACACGCGCGCCCCAAUAGCACCGGCCGGUCACCCGAUCUCCGAGCGUAGAAGCAAUUUUCGCUCUCGAGGAAGGGGAAUCGCGCCGUUAAAACCUCCAUCAAAGGUUGACCUCGGAUCAGGUAGGGAUACCCGCUGAACUUAA
rnacentral:misc_RNA from 1 species